UACGUAGGUGGCAAGCGUUGUCCGGAUUUAUUGGGUUUAAAGGGUGCGUAGGCGGUCUAUUAAGUCAGUUGUGAAAUACGGCAGCUCAACUGUCGAGGUGCAAUUGAUACUGAUGGACUUGAGUACUGAUGAGGUAAGCGGAAUGGACGGUGUAGCGGUGAAAUGCUUAGAUAUCGUCCAGAACACCGAUAGCGAAGGCAGCUUACUAAGGAGUAACUGACGCUGAGGCACGAAAGUGUGGGGGAUCAAACAGG
rnacentral:rRNA from 1 species